UAAGGUUCGACUCGAGCGCCAGCGAGAGAGCGUUGCCGCAGGCAACGACCCGAAGGGCGAAGCGCGCAGCGCUGAGUAAUCCUUCCCCCACCACCA
rnacentral:sRNA from 1 species